rnacentral:lncRNA from 1 species
CUUCCCCGGAUGGAAGUGGGUGCGGGGCGAGGGUCCGGGUCGGCGAUCGCCGCCCGCCAGGAGUCCUAGGAAUGUGGGAACGCAGUGGUCUGAAGGGAAUCCCAUUAUGUAGUUCAGGCUGACCUUGAACUCACUAUGUAACCCAGACUGUCCUCUAACCCUAGAGGAUCCUCCUGCCUCAGCCUCCCAAGUACUGGGAUUACAGGGAUGGAACUCGGGUCCUUGUGCUUGCGCAGCAGGCGGCGAAACCACUGAGCUAAAUCCCCGGCCCUGUUUAACUCUUUUGACUAAAGAUUGUACUUGCCGCUUUGCCUUUUCAAAGCUGAAAUUCCUUGAGGCUGAACAUUGUGUCUUAAUGCAAACAGUCAUUCUCCAAGUUAUUUGUUUUGGAAAUAUUACUUCUUCCUGUAUCAGAUUUACCUUAAGGUAAUUCCAGUUCUCAUGGGCUUCCUCAAGAUGUGGAUGGCAUAAAGGACACAGAUACCAAGAAGAGCUCACCAUCAUGGCUUUCCUCACGAUAGGCUGCCCUGCUUUCUCCAGAUGAGAAGAACCUGGAAUCUAACUCCAGAAGGAGAGAUGAGCAACCCAGAACCUGCUAAUGCUUAAUUGGUGAGCCACCUUUGGAAGCAGGCUACCCAGAAACAGAAGGAGGAUCACCUUGAGUUCGAGGCCAGCCUGGGCUACAUAGUGAGUUCGAGGCCAGCCUGGACUACAUACAUAGCAAGACCCUGUCUCAAAAAGACCAAAUAAAUAAUAAAUGAAUAAAUAAAUGUCUGAAUUGGAAUUCAAAAAGAAAAGAAGAAAAGUAAUUCCGUGUUGUCCCCUAAGACAUUAUAAGAUUUAACUGAAAAGAAUCAGUUGACUGUCUUUUUCUUUUUUUCUAUGAAUAGAACAGUAAGGACAAAGAUGAACAGUAGUAUUUUUCUUCUGUGCAGUUCCCUUCCAUGUUUUGGGCAGUAGAGAAAGGGAGAGGCAAAUUUCUCCCCAGUCCCUCGUUUCUCUCCCUCUAGCAGGGUGUUUUCUGUAAUUGGCUUUCCACAUUUGCCAAGAGUCUGUUUCCUCUUAACAUCCAACAUGCUUAACAGAAGCCUUGUAAUAGUUCCAAAAAUGAUAAAACCAGACCCAAGAAUAAAAUGAUACACACGACACAUUUGUUUUGGCCAUAGCUUUGGUUAAGUUCUUUUAAAUAAUUUAGGGUUAAAUGUGGUAGAAAUAAAGAUGUUUUCUUCACAGUAAUAAGACCAAAAAGAUGCAGUCAGUGACUCGUGCAGGGUUCA